CAUGGUGGAGAGUACACAAUGAAACUUGGGCUUAGAAAAUAUGCCUGUGAUCUCACACUGGACCCAAACACAGUAAACAGACUCCUCUCUCUGUCUGAGGAGAACAGAACGGCGACAUGGAGGACAGAGGAACAGCCGUAUCCUGAUCACCCAGAGAGAUUUGAUGGCUGGAAACAGGUGCUGUGUAGAGAGGGUCUGACUGGGCGCUGUUACUGGGAGGUAGAGUGGAGUGGGAGAGGGGCUGGAAUAGGAGUGGCAUAUAAAGGAAUCAGCAGGAGAGGAAGGGGUUAUGACUGUGUGAUUGGAUUAAAUGACAAGUCCUGGAGUCUGUUCUGUUCUGACAACAGUUACUACGCCUGGCACAAUAAUAAUCACACUACCAUAGGCAUCUCCUCCUCCAGCUCCAACAGAGUAGGAGUGUAUCUGGACUGGCCAGCCGGCACUCUGUCCUUCUACAGAGUCUCCUCUGACACACUGACCCAGCUGAACACAUUCUACACCACAUUCACUGAGCCCCUCUAUCCAGGGUUUAGGGUUUGUUAUGACUCCUCAGUGACCCUGUAAAUAAUAACCAUGGUAACUCUCACACACACUGUGGGGAUUUUCCUGUACAUGUGUUAUGCAUCUCAGAGUGGUAAGUGUCGUGGAAAUAUUGAAUCAAAUAUUUCUCAGAUACUGGAGCUUGUGAAUUGAAAUAGACUUUAUUACAAAAAGUAACAAAGCCGAAAAGUAACAAAGCCGAGCAAUUCCAUGGAAGAACUGCCUUCUCGUCACAGACCGCAGGCUUUAUAGGUUUCCACUUUCAGAUAACACACAUGGUCACUCCCCUCUAUGUAGAUGAUUAACACCCCUUGGCCUCUUGCCACCAUUCUCUUUCGGUCUCAAUUCUUGCUAUUUUACAGAUUCUAUUGGUGGUGUAUCCAUAGAAAUGAUACAAGACAUAAUACAGACACACAUAAUGCAGGUGUCUGUCUAAUGAUACUCAUAGGAUUACAUAAUGGCUUUCCCUAAGCCUGUAAUGGCACAGACAUACAUAUAUACAAUUACAUGCCUUAAAGCUAGUCACAGGACCAGGUAAGGACUUCCCUCAGGCCUAUAACGGCCCAGACACACACAUUACAUGGCUUCUCUUUAACACAGCCUUGUACACUCCCAUGGAUUCUGCUUACGUUCUGUUUUUACAUGUCUAGUGAAUAACUCCAUGUUGAUCCAGCUCUGUUCAUUCACCUGGCCUCAGCCUUUAUUCUGCUUACACAUGUCUAUUAAUUAACCCUAUGUUGAUUCUGCUCACUACUUCUGGGAGAACAGUCUGGAUACUGGAAAAUCCCCAUGAUCAUGAAUUGUUUUCCUACAUAAGCAGAAUCAAUAUAGUAAUCUAAAACCGAUGAAUGUACAGACAUUUAUUACCAACCCACCUGUGGAGGAUACCCUGUCCCUGGAGUUCCAGGACAAUACACCAACAACAAGGGAAAACCAUGUAAUGCUAAAGGAGGAUCUUUGGACUGUCCAUUUGGACAUCCUGAAAGCCUAUGGGGAGUAUCUCCAGGGGGGGGAUGGGGUUGUCGUUCCUAUCAAGAACAACAACAAUUGUUAGAGACUGAAAUAGAUGGUGAACUUCCUGACAUAGUCCAGGAACUGGAUAUAUGUCAAGGAUAAUGAGGAUCCUAAUCCUGAUCACAGGUUGCAACUGAAUAUAGGAGCACAUUGGCACCAACGGGGCCCUAAAAGGGGGUAUUGUAAGUGGUGCUCAUAGAGAUGGAAAGAAAGAGAUGGACAUUUUCAUCAUGCUGACCCACCUUUCUAUGCUAUGUGUCAAAGGGGUGACUGUCCCUUAUGUUGGGAUAAGGAAUGUGUUUAAAGUAUACACAUAGUAUAACAGAAUAUAAUCAUGUACUCGAUGUUAAAGGUAUAUAACCAUGUACUCAAUGUAACAGUUGCUGAAUGAAAAAUGAUGUUAAACUUUCUGAAUAUCUGUUCGCCUAGACAUGUAUGUGACAUAGGGUUUUUCCGGUUACAAGAGUCCACGGACCAUGCCCUUAAUCCUCUUAAACCUUAAACAGGUUUUUCCACUUAUGACAGAAUAGUUGUUAGAGACGUGUCUGCAAGGGAGGGCCAUGUGUUUAGGUGUCAUAUUGAGGAUGAUGUUAUAAGGAUUUAUAAGGUUUUAGUUUAUUGUGUUUAAAUGUUUUUAUUAUUUUUAUUGUGUUCUACAUAACUGAGAACCUCGGGCUAAGAAAUGCCUUGCCCGAGAUGCAGAUCGUCUCCAUAGCAACACAGAAGGUGCUUCCCCUUCUCAGCUUGAUCAUGACAAAGGUCUCUCUAAAAUUUGCAGUUUUGUCAAAAAAAAA